GAUGAACGCUGGCGGCGUGCCUAAUACAUGCAAGUCGAGCGAACGGACGAGAAGCUUGCUUCUCGGAUGUUAGCGGCGGACGGGUGAGUAACACGUGGAUAACGUACCUAUAAGACUGGGAUAACUUCGGGAAACCGUAGCUAAUACCGUAUAAUCUUUUGAACCGCAUGGUUCAAAGGUGAAAGACGGUCUUGCUGUCACUUAUAGAUGGAUCCGCGCUGCAUUAGCUAGUUGGUAAGGUAACGGCUUACCAAGGCAACGAUGCAUAGCCGACCUGAGAGGGUGAUCGGCCACACUGGAACUGAGACACGGUCCAGACUACUACGGGAGGCAGCAGUAGGGAAUCUUCCGCAAUGGGCGAAAGCCUGACGGAGCAACGCCGCGUGAGUGAUGAAGGUCUUCGGAUCGUAAAACUCUGUUAUUAGGGAAGAACAUAUGUGUAAGUAACUGUGCACAUCUUGACGGUACCUAAUCAGAAAGCCACGGCUAACUACGUG
rnacentral:rRNA from 1 species